AGAGCUGUAGACUUCACCAGAAACUUCGAACCCUUUUCGUUCAGCCCUUCACCCAUUAUCAUCAUCCCUAUCGUUAAACUACUCGCCGGUGACCUUGGGAGCGCCGGAAAAAUCCACCAUGGGAGACGUUCAAUAACUGGUUGUUCUCCCCUGUUUUCGCUUCGUUUUCUUUUAUCUUGCUGUCUGUGAAUGGUGCCAACGUUCCAAGCUUCCUCGUUGUUUUUCUUUCGUCCGUCUCAAGUGCUGUAAGUUCGCCGGAAGUCUUUUGCUCUUCUCGCGUUGGAGUCGUGCAGCGAACCUUCUCUUUUCUUCUUCUUCCUUUCAGCUCGUUAUACAGAGCUGUGACUCAUCUUGCUUCCUUGUUCAAUUUCAGUUGAGCGAGAAAUUAGCUCGCUGGAAGUUGGUGGAUUCGGUUCUCUUCACUUCCUUUUGAAUAGUGCUUCGUUUUUCCUCUUGCUCAGCCGUGAAUUUCAUUUUCCUCCUCCCCUGCUGUAUGCCGUUGGACCAUUUGAGAUUUAUUAGCUGACGCUGAUCCCACCAACGACCUCAAAAAGGGCAACUAGCUACAGUGGGUGGACUUUUUUUGAUUGGUAUUGUUGCUUUAAUGUAAAUAUAUAUAUAAUUUGUCUGCCUUUUUGAUUUGAAAGCAGUAGCAGAUGUUCCACAUAGGUUGUUGAUGAAUUUUAUUUUUGGUUUGUAUAUUGAU